rnacentral:rRNA from 1 species
GGGGAAUAUUGGACAAUGGGGGCAACCCUGAUCCAGCAAUGCCGCGUGUGUGAAGAAGGCCUGAGGGUUGUAAAGCACUUUCAGUGGGGAGGAGGGUAUUUUGGUUAAGAGCUGAGAUACUGGACGUUACCCACAGAAGAAGCACCGGCUAACUCCGUGCCAGCAGCCGCGGUAAUACGGAGGGUGCGAGCGUUAAUCGGAAUUACUGGGCGUAAAGAGUGCGUAGGUGGUUUUGUAAGUUAUCUGUAAAAGCCCUGGGCUCAACCUGGGAAGGCCAGAUAAAACUGCGAGACUCGAGUAUAGGAGAGGGUAGUGGAAUUUCCGGUGUAGCGGUGAAAUGCGUAGAGAUCGGAAGGAACACCAGUGGCGAAGGCGGCUACCUGGCCUGAUACUGACACUGAGGCACGAAAGCGUGGGGAGCAAAC